AUGCAGGCCGCCUUAUCGCUAAAUUUUAGGAUUUAGAGGAAAGUCCGGACACCAAAGGGAAGCAUAGCGGUUAACGGCCGCCGGCCGAAAGGUUAGGACCAGUGCAACAGAAAGAAUGUACAGGUAAUGCUGUAGUGAAAUCAGGUAAACUCUAUGCGGUGCAAUACCAUGUAAACCGGUGCUUAAGAUUGCCCGAUCGAUGCCGGAGGGUAGGUAGCUAGAGAUUUUUGGCAACAAAAAUUCCAGAUAAAUGAUAAGGGCUCGUUUAGAGUACAAAAUCCGGCUUAUAGGCCUGCUAUUUUU
rnacentral:RNase_P_RNA from 2 species